AAGCUUGAAUAUGAGUUUCAGAGGUCAGAGAUAGCGUGUCUUCAGAGAACAGAAAGAUGGGAUAUAUGCAAUUUAAGUGCUUUUCACUGCUUUAAUUAGAAACGUAGUCCCUGUUUCAUGGAAAAGUUUGCCAUUUCUUGCAUGAGCCUCUUUCAUUGGUGUAUCUUUCCCUGUGUACAGGUUACCAGCUCUUCAAACCCAGUCUGAUCUCUUGGCUGGAGGAAGAGGAAGAGUUGAGCACAUUGCCAAGAGUUUUCCAAGAAUGGAAAAUGUGCCUGAAAACCAAUGGGCCAGCCCUUUGGCAAGAUAAUUUUUGUUUAAAAACAUCAAAUGGGAUACAGUUGGCAAGAAACCAAAAUGGAGAGGAACUCUAUGACUGUAAGCAAUGUGAAGGUGUCUUCUGUAAACAUUCAUGCCUUAAGACCAACAUGAGUACUCAAAAUAGAGGCAACACGUCUGAAUGUAUUCAGUAUGCAAAAGACCUCCUUUCUCUAUACAAUAAAACCUCUACCAU
rnacentral:sRNA from 1 species